GCGCCGCGGUGCCGUGCGCGGCCAGGGCGUUGGAGCCGCCCUCGGGAAGCACGUAAGCGCGCCCCCAGCGCCGUUCGAGGCGGCGGCGGGUCGCC
rnacentral:tRNA from 1 species